rnacentral:lncRNA from 1 species
GAACUUAAAUACACAUGCACUUAUGUGAUGUUCUACCGUUUAACACAUGAACUAAAUCCGAAGAUAAACGAAUGUAUGGAACUAUCAAAUCUAUAAACUCAAUGUUCCAAGUUAAAGUCCAUCUUGAUAUUUAAAGUCCAUUCAAUUUCAAAACCUUAAAAAUUUCAUUACGUCAGUCAUUAUUGUUAUUAUAAAACAAGAAUGAUAUUCCAAAAUGUAAGUGUUGUCCCAUGAUACGAG